rnacentral:rRNA from 1 species
GACGAACGCUGGCGGCGUGCUUAACACACGCAAGUCGAACGGAAAGGCCCUGCUUUUGUGGGCUGCUCGAGUGGCGAACGGGUGAGUAACAAGUGAGUAACCUGCCCUUGACUUUGGGAUAACUUCAGGAAACUGGGGCUAAUACCGGAUAGGAGCUCCUGCUGCCUGGUGGGGGUUGGAAAGUUUCGGCGGUUGGGGAUGGACUCGCGGCUUAUCAGCUUGUUGGUGGGGUAGUGGCUUACCAAGGCUGUGACGGGUAGCCGGCCUGAGAGGGUGACCGGCCACAUUGGGACUGAGAUACGGCCCAGACUCCUACGGGAGGCAGCAGUGGGGAAUAUUGCACAAUGGGCGGAAGCCUGAUGCAGCAACGCCGCGUGCGGGAUGACGGCCUUCGGGUUGUAAACCGCUUUCGCCUGUGACGAAGCGUGAGUGACGGUAAUGGGUAAAGAAGCACCGGCUAACUACGUG